AACCACAAAGGUGAUUACACCUCAAGGCUGCAAAUAGAAAAACAAUUUUACAGUGCUCAUAGGAGCGUUUGAACAACGCGUUCAUGAUCGGCUUAGUAUCGUAUCAUUCGAAGCGCGUGUUAUUAAAUCCUAAGAAAAACGCUGAAGACAAGGAAUGAGCAACGGGUUUUUCAGAAACGCUAGAGGCGAUCUGCCAAAAAAAACACUAGCCUGAGGCACAUCGACGCAACAAAUAAGAUAUGGAUCUUCACCAUAAAAGGAUUGGGAGAACUCCAUCCAUCAUCACGAUGCUGUAUAUAUUAAUGCGAAUCAAGUAUUUACACAGCACCUUCAAAAAGCCCCCGCACCGCUGGCUUCAGUAUGCAAACGGCACGGUCAACUGGUCGCAACGAAUAAUCACGAAGAAAAUCGCCACAUGCGUGGAAGCUCAGAUGAACUCUGAAGACAGAUCAAC